GGCAGAACUAAUAAACGGGCUCUGCCCAAUCACUAAAAUGGCCACCCCGAUCAGAACUACAGAUCACAAAAUGGCCGACUGCCAAACCUACAAUUCCCAGAAGCAAGGGGAACCCUCAGAAGGUGGAGCCGACCCACAGAUAAAGGGUCAAGAAAAAGCAGGAAGGGAGAGAGAGGGCGGGAAGGAUCUAUGAACCAUAGAGAAAGAGACAAUCUACAUUGGCUGGAUUUACCGUGUACGAGCUGGACUGUUUUGGACUUACCUGUUGGCGUUUAGACCUGGACCUACCGAGAACUAGAUUUGUGUACCGAACCCUGCUAUCCUUGACCUUACCUGCGGCCUGGGUGGACCAGGACAGAGAAACAAACACACAGCUCUCUUUAUCUCUGACAGGAGCGUCUGAGUGAGCAUCAGGGACAGUCUUCAACCCAUCUCUCCCACAACUGACGCCUCCACAGAUAAUUGCGUUUGAAGAACCUCCCUUGCUUAAGGGGGACCUAUUAUAUCUCCAUCGCCAUGUGACACGCUGCAACACACUUCAUUUACAGUGCCUUCAGAAAGUAUUCAUAACCCUUAAAUUAUUCCACAUUUUGUUGUGUUACAGCCUGAUUUAAAAAUGUAUUACAUAUCUUUUUUUACUCACCCAUCUACACACAAUACCUCAUAAUGAUCAAGUGAAAACAGGUUUUCAGAAAUGUUUGCAAACUUAUUGAAAAUUAAAUACUGAAAUAUCUAAUUUCCCUAAGUUUUCACUCAAUACAUGUUAAAUACAUGUACAUGUUAAAAUCACCUUUGGCAGCAAUUACAGCUGUGAGUCUUUCUGGUUAAGUCUUUAAGUGCUUUGCACUACUGGAUUGUUCAAUAUCUGCACAUUACUGUUUUUAAAACUCUUAAAACUCUGUCAAGUUGGUUGUUUAUCAUUGCUACAGUAGAUACAGUAGCCAUUUUCAAGUAUUGCCAUAGAUUUGAGCCAAUUUAAGUAAAAACUGUAACUAGGCCACUCAGGAACAUUCAAUGUCAUCUUGGUAAGCAACUCCAGUGUAUAUUUGGCCUUGUGUUUUGUCCUUCUGUAAGGUGAAUUUGUCUCACAGUGUCUGCUGGAAAGCAGACUGAACCAGGUUUUCCUCUUGGAUUUUGCCUGUACUUAGCUCUAUUCCAUUUCUUUUUAAAACACUUUUAAAAACUCUCUAGUCCUUGCUGAUGACAAGCAUACCCAUAACAUGAUGCAGCCACCACCAUGCUUGAAAAUAUGGAGAGUGGUACUCAAUGAUGUAUUGUGUUGGAUUUGCCCCAAACAUAACAAGUUGUAUUCAGGACAAAAAGUACAUUUCUUUGCCACUUUUUUUGCAGUAUUGCGUUAGUGCCUUCUUGCAAACAGGAUGAAUGUUUUUGAAUAUUUUUAUUCUGCACACUCUUCAUUCUUUUCACUCUGUCAUUUAUGUUAGUAUUGUGGAGUAAUUACAGUGUUGCUGAUCCAUUGUUUUCUUCGAUCACAGCCAUUAAACUCUGUAACAAUUUUAAGAUCACCAUUGGCUUCAUCGUGAAAUCCCUGAGCAGUUUUGAUCCUCUCCGGCAACUGAGUUAGGAAUGACAAAGGGGUUGAAUACUUACUGACUUAAGACAUUUCAGCUUUCCAUUUUUAAUGAAUUUCUUUAAAAAACUCUAAAACAUAAUUCCACUUUGACCUUGUGUGUAGGCCAGUAACACAAAAUCUAAAUGUAAUUUAUUUUGAAAUCAGGUUGUAACAACAAAAUUUGGAUAAAGUCAAGGGGUAUGAAUACUUUCUGAAGACAUUAACAUAACUGUGAACAUGGUUAUUUCUCCCUAUCGGCAGUCAGAAUGAGGAGUUAGGAGGGUGGGAUCAUGCUAAAUGCAGAGGUGGGGGUGAAGGAUGGGAUUAGGGCAUGCUAGAUGCAGACAUGGGCGUGGAGGGUAGCAUUACGGCAGAGGUGGGGAUGCAGGGUGUAAGGCUAGGGAGGGGGCUGUGUCAGAUAUUGUCUGACUCUGCAGGUGUGGCGUACCAGGAUUUUCACACUGGGGACCCCUUACUAGCGGGGGUUUGAUCAUAUUUUCCUCCCAGCGGUUGGGGGCUUUCAGAAUGACUUUUCCCCCAGCACAGCUGUCAGUCAUGUACAGUUGAAGUCGGAAGUUUACCUACACCUUAGCCAAAUACAUUCAAACUCAGUUUUUCACAAUUCUUGACAUUUAAUCAUACUGAAAAUUCCCUGUCUUAGGUCAGUUAGGAUCACCACUUUCUUUUAAGAAUGUGAAAUAUCAGAAUAAUAGUAGAGAGAAUUAUUUAUUUCAGCUUUUAUUUCUAAAAUCACAUUCCCAGUGGGUCAGAAGUUUUCAUACACUCAAUUACUAUUUGGUAGCAUUGCCUUUAAAUUGUUUAACUUGAAAUGUUUUGGGCAGUCUUCCACAAGCUUCCCACAAUAAGUGGGGUGAAUUUUGGCCGAUUCCUCCUGACAGAGCUGGUGUAACUGAGUCAGGUUUGUAGGCCUCCUUGCUCGCACACACAUUUUCAGUUCUGCCCACAUAUUUUCUACAGGAUUGAGGUCAGGGCUUUGUGAUGGCCACUCUAAAACCUUGACUUUGUUGUCCUUAUGCCAUUUUGCAACAACUUUGGAAGUAUACUUGGGGUCAUUGUCCAUUUGGAAGACCCAUUUGCGACCAAGCUUUAACUUUCUGACUGAUGUCUUGAGAUGUUGAUUCACUAUAUCCACAUAAUUGUCCUUCCUCAUGAUGCCAUCUAUUUUGUGAAGUGCACUAGUCCCUCCUGCAGCAAAGCACACCCACAACAUGAUGCUGCCACCCCCGUGCUUCAUGGCUGGGAUGGUGUUUUUUGGCUUGCAAGCAUCCCCUUUUUUCCUCCAAACAUAACGGUGGUCAUUAUGGUCAAACAGUUCCAUUUUUGUUUCAUCAGACCAGAGGACAUUUCUCCAAGAAGUACAGUAUUUGUCCCCAUGUGCAGUUGAAAACCGUAGUCUGGAUUUUUCUAUGGCGGUUUUGGAGCAGUGGCUUCUUCUUUUCUGAGCGACAGUUCAGGUUAUGUCGAUAAAAGAAUCUUUUUACUGUGGAUAAAGAUAUUUUUGUACCCGUUUCCCCCAGCAUUUUCACAAGGUCCUUUGCUGUUGUUCUGGGAUUGAUUUGCACCUUUCGCACCAAAGUACGUUCAUCUCUAGGAGACAGAACGCAUCUCCUUCCAGAGCGGUAUGACGGCUGUGUGGUCCCAUGGUGUUUAUACUUGCGUACUAUUGUUUGUACAGAUGAACGUGGUACCUUCAGGCGUUUGGAAAUUGCUCCCAAGGAUGAACCAGACUUGUGGAAGUCUACAACUUGUUUCUGAGGUCUUGGCUGAUUUCUUUAGAUUUUCCCAUGAUGUCAAGAAAAGAGGUACUGAGUUUGAAGGUAGGCCUUGAAAUACAUCCACAGGUACACCUCCAAUUGACUCAAAUUAUGUAAAUUAGCCUAUCAGAAGCUUCUAAAGCCAUGUCAUCGUUUUCUGCAAUUUUCCAAGCUGUUUAAAUGCACAGUCAACUUAGCGUAUGUAAUCUUACAGUGAAUUAUAAGUGAAAUAAUCUGUCUGUAAACAAUUGUUGGAAAAAUGACUUGUGUCAUGCACAAAGUAGAUGUCCUAACCGACUUGCCAAAACUAUAGUUUGUUAACAAGAAAUUUGUGGAGUGGUUAAAAAACAAGUUUUAAUGACUCCAACCUAAGUGUAUGUAAACUUCCGACUUCAACUGUACUUACUACCAGUCAAUGCAUGGCUUUCUCCUAAUUGCAGCCUGAUGGUUCCAUAUGUGUAGAAGAACAAUGAAAACCACAUAUGAUUAGAGGAUUGCAACAGGAUGCUAAAACAACUGAAAACUCCAGAACAAGUAGUACAUAUGUCACGUCCUGACCAGUAUAAGGGGUUAUUUGUUAUUGUAGUUUGGUCAGGGCGUGGCAGGGGUGUGUUUGUUUUGUGUUAUCAGGGUUUUUGGGUAUGGUUCUAUGUUUUUGUAAUUCUAUGUUUUUCUAUGUUGUGUAUUUCUUUGUGUUGGCCUGGUAUGGCUCUCAAUCAGGAACAGCUGUACAUUGUUGUUGCUGAUUGGGAGCCAUACUUAGGUAACCCUUUUUUCCCCCUGUCUUUUGUGGGAAGUUGUUUUUGCACUGCUCUGGUUAGCCUGCAGAACUGUUUAGCUGUCGUUCGUUUUUUCGUUUUUGUGUAGUGUUCUAAUAAAGUAAAUAUGAGCAUUCACAUACCCGCUGCAUUUUGGGCCAAUCCUUACGACGGCCGUGACAGAACUUCCCACCACAAAUGGACCAAGCAGCAGGGUAAGGAGCUGGAGAGGAGCUAUCUGGAGUCGUGGACUUGGGAGGAGAUCCUAGCCAGAGAGGGACCAUGGAGGAAGGCUGGAGAGGACCGGGAGUGUUAUGCUGGAACACGGCUGGCAUGGAGGCCUGAGAGGCAGCCCCAAAAAAUGUUUUUUUUGGGGGGGGGCACACGGGUAGUUUGGCUGGGCCAGGGUUGAGCCCUAAGCCAACUCCCCGUGCUUACCGAAGGCAGCGUGGUACUGGUCAGGCCCCGUGCUAUGGGGUGAUGCGCACGGCGUCGAGGCCAAGCAUCCACAGGCCGGUGUGCUCGGUGCCAGCGUCCCGCAUUUGCCGGGGGGAAGCGGGCACCCAGCCAGUACGGGUUGUGCCAGUCUUGCGCUCGAGACCGCCAGUCCACCUCCACAGCCCAGUGUAUCCUGUUCCCGCUCCCCAACCAGUAUAAGGGGUUAUUUGUUAUUGUAGUUUGGUCAGGGCGUGGCAGGGGUCUGUUUGUUUUGUGUUAUUGGGGUUUUUGGGUAUGGUUCUAUGUUUUUGUAAUUCUAUGUUUUUCUAUGUUGUGUAUUUCUUUGUGUUGGCCUGGUAUGGCUCUCAAUCAGGAACAGCUGUACAUUGUUGUUGCUGAUUGGGAGCCAUACUUAGGUAGCCUUUUUUUCCACCUGUCUUUUGUGGGAAGUUGUUUUUGCACUGCUAUGGUUAGCUUGCAGAACUGUUUAGCUGUCGUUCGUUUUUUCGUUUUCUUGUUUUUGUGUAGUGUUCUAAUAAAGUAAAUAUGAGCAUUCACAUA
rnacentral:lncRNA from 1 species